AGAUAGAUUUAGCUGGUGGUGCAGAGAUCUGUGAGCUUGCUUUUGCAGGACUUUAAUGAUAUAUAAAAGCAGCAUGAAGUGCUCCUGACUGUGGAUUAAUUUGGAGAUGACUUUCUCUGUUGAAGAGUGGCAAGACUCUUGCAAGUUCUUAAAAAUGCACUUGUUUGAUAUGAGAAUGAAAAGCAGUGGCUGAAGAACCAGUCUUCAAUGGGCAAGGCUUCUCUGUGUCUGUUCUAACAUGUCAUCUGGGAUCCCUUGGAAUCUUCACGUACAGAACCGGUUGCUGCCUCAUUGAGUUGGUGGGACAGAAUAGCUCCUGGUUGGCAGCAUGGGUUGUGCAGAAGGACAGACCCUGCAGACAUCAAUAUCUGGCUUUGAGUGGCACAAAGAAAUAAAGGAAUGUGGAUUCAGACCUCACUGGGAUGCUUGGCAAUUCUAAUUCUACCCCAGACUGCAAAUGGACACAAAACUGUUGCGACUUUUGUUGAAGAGGAAAAGGAUGGCACAGAAGCUGGAUUCAGAAGCACACAGGUCUGGGGAUGCAGGCUUCGGCCACCCUGAUGC